UACGGGAGGCAGCAGUGGGGAAUAUUGCACAAUGGGCGAAAGCCUGAUGCAGCUAUGCCGCGUGUAUGAAGAAGGCCUUAGGGUUGUAAAGUACUUUCAUCGGGGAGGAAAAACAAAACUAAUAAUUUUAUUUCUUGACGUUACCCGAAAAAGAAGCACCGGCUAACUCCGUGCCAGCAGCCGCGGUAAUACGGAGGGUGCUAGCGUUAAUCAGAAUUACUGGGCGUAAAGAGCACGUAGGUGGUUUUUUUAAGUCAGAUGUGAAAUCCCUGGGCUUAACCUAGGAACUGCAUUUUGAAACUGAAAUACUAGAGUAUCGUAGAGGGAGGUAGAAUUCUAGGUGUAGCGGUGAAAUGCGUAGAUAUCUGGAGGAAUACCUGUGGCGAAAGCGGCCUCCUAAACGAAUACUGACACUGAGUGCGAAAGCGUGGGGAGCAAACGAGGGAUUAGAUACC
rnacentral:rRNA from 1 species